AUUCAGUCUGCUGUCAAGCGAACAGUCUCAUCAUAACAAGUGAUGGAUUUCAGUUUACUCCCCAGGGGUGACGAUCAGGAGGACACACAGAGGAAGAUCCUGGAGCAAGCGCUUCAGAAUAGGUUCCAGGCUUGUUACCAAGACAACCUGUUGAGAGUGAGAGAGAGCACCGCAGCACGGAAACUGACUGUGGGUGAGUGAGAACAGAGCAUUCAAGGGGGCGACAGCAUGAUACUGUUGUCAUUCCUGUGCAUGGAAAUGUUGCGUUAAUGUUGUGUUACUGUUGUGUUAAUGUUGUGUUACUGUUGUGUUAAUGUUGUGUUA
ensembl:lncRNA